rnacentral:rRNA from 1 species
AUUGGAGGCAGGGUCCAGGGAGCGGCAGACGGGAGAGUAACACGUUGAUAACUGCCCCGAAGUCAGGAAUAAGCCUUAGAAAUAGGGUCUAAUGCCGGAUGGUACUCGAAAGAGUAAAGCAGCAAUGCGCUUUGGGAGGUGUCUGCGGCCUAUCAGUUUGUUGGUGAGGUAAUGGCUUACCAAGACUAUGACGGGUAGCUGGUCUGAGAGGACGAUCAGCCUCAAUGGAACUGAGAUACGGUCCAUACUCCUACGGGAGGCAGCAGUGAGGAAUUUUUCGCAAUGGGGGCAACCCUGACGAAGCAACACCGCGUGGAGGAUGAAGGGCUUUUGCUUGUAAACUCCUUUUUUGAGGGAAUAAAUAUGAAGGUACCUCAAGAAUAAGCAUCGGCUAACUACGUGCCAGCAGCCGCGGUAAGACGUAGGAUGCAAGCGUUAUCCGGAAUUAUUGGGCGUAAAGAGUUCGUAGACGA